AUUGAACGCUGGCGGCAGGCCUAACACAUGCAAGUCGAGCGGAUGAUAGGAGCUUGCUCCUUGAUUUAGCGGCGGACGGGUGAGUAAUGCCUAGGAAUCUGCCUGGUAGUGGGGGAUAACGUUCCGAGAGGAACGCUAAUACCGCAUACGUCCUACGGGAGAAAGCAGGGGACCUUCGGGCCUUGCGCUAUCAGAUGAGCCUAGGUCGGAUUAGCUAGUUGGUGAGGUAAAGGCUCACCAAGGCGACGAUCCGUAACUGGUCUGAGAGGAUGAUCAGUCACACUGGAGCUGAGACACGGUCGAGACUCCUACGGGAGGCAGCAGUGGGGAAUAUUGGACAAUGGGGGAAAGCCUGAUCCAGCCAUGCCGCGUGUGUGAAGAAGGUCUUCGGAUUGUAAAGCACUUUAAGUUGGGAGGAAGGGCAGUAAGUUAAUACCUUGCUGUUUUGACGUUACCGACAGAAUAAGCACCGGCUAACUUCGUGCCAGCAGCCGCCGUAACAC
rnacentral:rRNA from 1 species